rnacentral:rRNA from 1 species
UACGUAGGGGGCAAGCGUUGUCCGGAAUCAUUGGGCGUAAAGAGCGUGUAGGCGGCCCGAUAAGUCCGCCGUGAAAGUCCAGGGCUCAACCCUGGGAUGCCGGUGGAAACUGUCGGGCUAGAGUCCGGAAGAGGCGAGUGGAAUUCCUGGUGUAGCGGUGAAAUGCGCAGAUAUCGGGAGGAACACCAAUGGCGAAGGCAGCUCGCUGGGACGGUACUGACGCUGAGACGCGAAAGCGUGGGGAGCAAACAGG